AUUGAACGCUGGCGGCAUGCCUUACACAUGCAAGUCGAACGGUAACAGGUCUUCGGAUGCUGACGAGUGGCGAACGGGUGAGUAAUACAUCGGAACGUGCCCGAUCGUGGGGGAUAACGAAGCGAAAGCUUUGCUAAUACCGCAUAAGAUCUACGGAUGAAAGCAGGGGACCGCAAGGCCUUGCGCGAACGGAGCGGCCGAUGGCAGAUUAGGUAGUUGGUGGGAUAAAAGCUUACCAAGCCGACGAUCUGUAGCUGGUCUGAGAGGACGACCAGCCACACUGGGACUGAGACACGGCCCAGACUCCUACGGGAGGCAGCAGUGGGGAAUUUUGGACAAUGGGCGAAAGCCUGAUCCUGCCAUGCCGCGUGCAGGAUGAAGGCCUUCGGGUUGUAAACUGCUUUUGUACGGAACGAAAAGACUCUGGUUAAUACCUGGGGUCCAUGACGGUACCGUAAGAAUAAGCACCGGCUAACUACGUG
rnacentral:rRNA from 1 species